GAUGAAGAACGUAGCGAAAUGCGAUAAGUAAUGUGAAUUGCAGAAUUCAGUGAAUCAUCGAAUCUUUGAACGCACAUUGCGCCCAUUAGUAUUCUAGUGGGCAUGCCUGUUCGAGCGUCAUUUCAACCCUUAAGCCUAGCUUAGUGUUGGGAAUCUGCUGUAUUGCAGUUCCUCAAAUACAACGGCGGAUCUGUAACAUCCUCUGAGCGUAGUAAAUUGUUAUCUCGCUUUUGUUAGGUGUUGCAGCUCUCAGCCGCUAAACCCCCCAAUUUUUGUGGUUGACCUCGGAUCAGGUAGGAAUACCCGCUGAACUUAAGCAUAUCAAUAAGCGGAGGA
rnacentral:misc_RNA from 1 species